CCUAUUAUUCACUUACCCCCAAACAUCCGACUAUUCAUUUUCGAACAGUAGGCAUCCUAAGCUCUCAUGCGGUUUUGCUCUGAAGGGCUCGCGCAUCCUCAACUCUGAAGGGCUCGCGAUUUCGCUCACUGGCGUAGGUCUCCUCUCCCACCUUCAUCCAUUCCUUCCAUCAUCGACAUCUACAAUCUCGACGACGUCGUAACUGUCUCCCAGCUCCGUUCCACCAUCGCUUCUCAGAUCCGCAAGAACUCUCACUCCACCAAUCCCAAGCUUUUCAAUUGUGGUAGUAUCUUUUGAAGAAAUUGCUUGAACGCUAGCUUGGAAUUGAAGUUUCGAAAUGGAUAGAGAUUGGAGGAAGAUUAUCCAGCCGGAUAGAGUACAAUGUGGUUAUUAUGUUAUGAAAAUUAUCCAGAGUUUCAUGACGGUUGUUAAUCCUGCAAGUUUUUUGAAAAAUCAUUUCAAGUUAGACGCUCGCUAUAGUAACGAGGAGAUCAAUGUCGUACGGGAUGAGUGGGCCGAAUUUGUGAAGCCUUUGAUUAUAGAUUAAAUACUUAAGGUUACUAAACUUUUGUUAUAAUACAUGAGUAACAAGUUUUAUGAUUAUUGUUAUCUUUUGCAUAUGUUAUUAGUUUAUAUUUAGUUUACGAUAUACAUGGAAUUUAAGUUUUAGAAUCGAUUUUAUUAACAAUUUUGGUAUUGUGUGAUUAGUUAAUAGAAUCGAUUACUAAUUUUAUAUAAGUUUUAAAAAUAUUAUUUUAAGUUUUAUAUAAGUUAA